rnacentral:rRNA from 1 species
CGUUCCCGGACCUUGCACACACCGCCCGUCAAGCCAUGGAAGCCGGGUGUACCUAAAGUCGGUGGCCUAACCUUUUGGAGGGAGCCGUCGAAGGUGGGACUCGUGACUGGGGUG